GCGUGUUGUUCAGCAUAGAGGUGACGUCGGUGUACUUUGCCGUUCGGAACUACUGGCGCGGCUUCUUCGCUGCCGUCUGCGGCGCCAUGGUGUUCCGCCUUCUAGCCGUCUGGUUUGAGGAUGAAGAAACGAUAACUGCCUUAUUCAAGACAGACUUCAAGGUGGAUUUUCCAUUUGAUCCACAAGAGCUGUUUGUUUUUGCACUAAUUGGGGCUGUGGCCGGCUUCGCUGGUGCAUUCUUCGUGUGGCUACACAGGACAUACGUUGU